GAUGAACGCUGGCGGCGUGCCUAAUACAUGCAAGUCGAGCGAACAGACGAGGAGCUUGCUCCUCUGACGUUAGCGGCGGACGGGUGAGUAACACGUGGAUAACCUACCUAUAAGACUGGGAUAACUUCGGGAAACCGGAGCUAAUACCGGAUAAUAUAUUGAACCGCAUGGUUCAGUAGUGAAAGACGGUUUUGCUGUCACUUAUAGAUGGACCCGCGCCGCAUUAGCUAGUUGGUAAGGUAACGGCUUACCAAGGCGACGAUGCGUAGCCGACCUGAGAGGGUGAUCGGCCACACUGGAACUGAGACACGGUCCAGACUCCUACGGGAGGCAGCAGUAGGGAAUCUUCCGCAAUGGGCGAAAGCCUGACGGAGCAACGCCGCGUGAGUGAUGAAGGUCUUCGGAUCGUAAAACUCUGUUAGUAGGGAAGAACAAAUGUGUAAGUAACUAUGCACGUCUUGACGGUACCUAAUCAGAAAGCCACGGCUAACUACGUG
rnacentral:rRNA from 1 species